rnacentral:misc_RNA from 1 species
CGUAGGUGAACCUGCGGAAGGAUCAUUAUUGUAUAACCGAGGUGCGAGGGCUGUCGCUGACCCGAAAGGUCGUGCACGCCCGAGUGCCCUCACACACAUCCAUCUCACCCCUAUGUGCACCACCGCGUGGGUCCCCCUUUGGCUUGUUCGGAGGGGGGCUUACGCUUUCACACAAACUUUGUAUGCAGUGUAGAAUGAAUUUUUUGUUUUUGCGAUCACGCAAUCAAUACAACUUUCAACAACGGAUCUCUUGGCUCUC